CCUCAGGCCAACGUGGCCUCGAAGGCUUAGCCGUGCGUGGAGGGCGGCAGCGCCCCUAAGGAUGAGGUCCAAAUACCGCCAUUAGCAGACAGCCGAUAUUCCAGGCAGGUGCACAGCUGGCAGCUGCGGGUGCCCACAGCUCUCACUGGUAGCCCCAGGCACACGCAGGAUUUCCGAGAAGGCAAUGUAAAGGAUAUCCACCCUCAAUCAUUGCUUUUGUCCCCUGCAGAGGAGGGUGAGGAGGCUGCCAAGAACUGUUUCAGAAUGGAUGAAGGCCCUUUACCAAAGGUCUGAAGACUGUGGUGGUGAGCAGGCAUGGGCACAUUAACUAUCCAACAUUUUUGUCUCCAAAUAUAUUCCAAGUUUUCCCUCUUCAUGAGAGACUGUUCUUGUCUUGCUCAGCCCAGUAGUCACUAAUGUACUCACAGCCACACUACAGUUCCUGCCUGGCAACAGCUCAGCUCUCAGGAAUCUACAUGGGAGGAGUAGGGGAGAAUAAAUUGCCAUCAAGCUGCUCAAAAUAACAAAACAGUGACUGGACUCGCUGGUUAUUGUGACGCUGGCAGGCAGGGUCUGGGCACGGCUGGAGGCUGGAGUGCUCUGAGUGGUCGGGGACACUUCGAUUUUAUCAGAUGAGAUAGCUGAUGUGAUGGCCUGGAUCCACGUGUUCAUCUCCUCCUUCAAGAAGCCCGAAAGAUCGCUACGAGGCUUUUCUGUGAGAACUGCCUGCGCGUGAACCUGCAUAACAGAGGCCUCAGCCUUUGCAGAAUCCUCCCAGAUGCUCUUCUCAGCCUGGAGAUGGAGCUUUGCCACAAUGAGCAGGUGAACUCUGAGGAAAUAUGCCACAUGAUACUGAAGCAGUUCUGAUACACGUGUCAGUGAAAGAAGGGCAAUUGAUUUUUCUGCUUAGUAACGCACAACUUGAGAGAACUGGAAUCAAAUCCCACUACUGCCACAAAUUCAUCACACGAAGUGGGAAAGUCAUGAUAUCUUCAUGCCUCCAUUUUCUACCUUCCAAAUAUAAGCCAAUAGUGCAUCUUCUAACACGUAUGAUUAGAUUGCAACCUCAUGAAAUACAUUAUUCAAUCAUGCAUAUGCAAUUUCUAGAACAGGAGCUUUAAAAUAUUUUUGGAGCUGCGAGAAGACAAUAACUGCAGUGAUAACAUUGACUAUUAUGUAAUAACAAAAUGCCCAGUGUUGGAAGGGACCCAUAAGCUCUUGGCUCAACCCAGGAUCAUCCAAAAUUCGAACCAUACAUCGCAGUGAGCUUGGAUGCAAGUAUCUGCAUUAUUAAGCAGCGAUCUUCAUUAAACAUCAAGUACUCUUACCUGCUGGAGGCUUUCUUGCUGUGUGUCUCCCAUUCAUGUUUACGAUGCAAGAAGCCCUCCAUCUGAGCUGAAGGAAUCUCCUGUGUUUUGGCUGGUAGGGUAGCAGCAGUCUGAGCCUGAAUGGCAGCCGUGGCUUUGCGGUCUGCCGUUGGAGAAGGAACAGGACUGGACUCUUUUGAACUUGUCCUCUGUUCUGCAGCUCCAUUAACCAUUUCGUUUGUUUCUGCAGUUUCUGCCACCUAGGGACAGUGAACAAAGUGUUCAGCUAGAUGCCUCGCAACACUGAAGUAUUCUGCAGUUAACCUGAUUCCCUGCACAAUGUGGCUGUGUAUAAGCUUUGCCUGGAGAAUGACACAGGCCAAUGAGAUCUUUCUCAUGGAGACACAGGAGGCCAAGGAAAUUAGAAGGUAUGAAUGGAUUAGUACCCAUUUUACAGGUGGAGAAACAGGAAUAUAAGAGCUGCUAAACUUCAGUGUGAAUUUUACUGUGCUUUGCUCUGCUAGUCAAUUCAUAAUAUUUUAUGUAUUGUUGUUCCUAAAAGGAGAGCAUUCAAUUCUGCUGCUUACUCAAAUGUUUGGAACAGUAACAAUCACACUUUCUGCAAACCUAAGAGGAACAGUAGAAGUUAUACACAUCAGCCACCUUAAAUACGUUUGUGACAUUACUGGGGCAUAAAAGAUCUAUAAAAGGUAUUAGCUAUGAGUCAGCAGAAAAAUAUGUCAAAACUGCCCAGGAGCAUUUACAAAAAUUUUCAGAAUUUAUUUCUGUAAAAGCUCCUUUCCCACUUUCCCCAUUCCCCUAGUGACACAACAAAAUCAAAACAUGCAGAAAUUAGAGAGAUUACACCAUGCAUUUCAUCUCCAGCAUCCCAGUUAAGGUAUUCGAUCUUAAAGACAAGGGAAAUGAGGUCAGACGUCAUUUAUCGAAGUCUUUUUCAGACUUCCAUUAUUAGGAGGAUUGGAUUUUUGUUAAAGGAACUGAAAACCACCACAGUCACACAACAUCACACAGCUAUUUACCCCCAAACAAAGACAGAACCAAGGCCUUGCCCAUCACUUGCUUUGUUGAUCGCGUUGCCUGUCGCACUGUGAUCGAGAUAGCCUAGAGAGCAGCCAUGUUUCCAGCAGCUCUGACUGGUCAAGCUUUCGACGUCUUCAGGAGCCAUUCAUCCCAAAAUCAUUUAAAUUGGAAUCCUAAUGGCUAUACACUUUUGAAAUGCAGCUUGGUCCCAGUUUUUUUGGUUUUUUUUGUUUUCUUGUACCAUUACUUGGACACGUAGAGCCAUUGGUAGCAGCUCAGGAGUUACACAACCAGUGUGUAUUAUUAUUAUUAGCAAGUUACUAAAGCUUAGUGCUGCUAACGCUCUAGUAGAUUACAAACGUUCUGGACUGUUUUUAUGCAGACAAGCAGGUAUUUGUGAAUGGCACAAUAAUUAGACAUUCCCACUUCUGCACAUAGCCCGGACAAUUCAAAAGCAGCCGAAUUAUGCAACAUACUGAAUUUUGCUACUGUUUGCUAGAACUUCUUGUACCUGCCAAGUAUACGUUAUUGUACCUCACACCUUUGUACCUCAUAUAUUGACCUAGAAAGAUCUAAGUGUCAACUUGCUAUGGAUAUGGGAAGGGUUGGUUAACUGCCUUUAAGCAAUCUAAAUUUCCAGAGUACAGACACUACACCACUGAAACAGGAAAAGAAUCACAGCUCACAUUCCACUGCAGUCGUAUCUAUUUUACUCUGUCCCUAAAGAAACACCGCCUUACAGCUCAGUUUAUUAGAAGAAAUAUCUACCCUGCGCUGAAGAUCUAUCUAUCUCAUGUUAGCCAGAUGGAGUAAAAUUCAGUGAUGCUGUUUCUUCAAAAUCAGGGUAAGUCAAAACCAUCAAACCAGGCUAUUUCUAUCCAAAUCUUAAUUCAAAAAUCUUGCAUUAAAGAAGGGCAGGGGAUGGGGGAGAAUAAACAGAUAGAUGAGACUGAAGCUUAUCCAAACGCUGCCGGCACUGCUACUGCAACACAGGUUGUGUCAUUUGCAGCCAGUGAUUCACCUGUGAGUGCUCAAUUAAUUAUUCAUCGCCACUGCUGAUCACUAAUGCCCAACAUUCCACAUUCAAGAUAAAGGAAAGCCCUUCAGAGAUACUCUUCUAAACUGGCAGGAUCCCUGUCUGAGAUACACAAAGCCCACACAGAAUUACUGGACACUCGCAUGGUCUGCCUGCUGCACAGACACAGGAACUCAGCACCACCUCAGACAAACUACCCAGAACUACCAGUGCUAAAAGUUUUCUGUACUGAUACAGACAAGAUGUGAAAAUAAUUAUUAGACACUUUUGGGUAUCCCUAACAAUUAAUCUGAAAUAAAAAAGGACAAGUUCCAGAACAGCAGCCACUGCAAAAGGUACUUAAAUUGUCUUUAUGGGAAGUAACGUGUAAUUCAGUGCUGCAAUCUGCAACCCCAUGGUUUUAAGCGACAAAUGCCAACUUCAAUUACACAAUCAGACCUGUAAUAUCUACUUAAAAUGCUACUGAUUGUAAAAGGGCCAUGAAAAGCUUUAUUGAUGCUCUUUCGGGUUUUAUUUCCUUUCCAUGUGUUAUCUACAAUUAACAGAAAACAAGCAAAAUAAAUCUGAAUCAUAAACAGGUAUGCAAAGAAUGUGUAAUGAAAAUAGAGGAAAACGGGAGCUAGACAAACUUUAAUGGAACAUGCGCUGGGCAUGCAGACAACGCAACAGAAGACAAACAGUAAUAGCAAACUGUACUGUUACAACAAAGCAGUCAUCACGUACAUGGAAACAGUUGUCUUAAUUGUGACUGAGAGGUUAGUUGCAAGUGCUUUAGUGGCUAGGGGCUGCUCCUGAGGUGUUCUUAACUCAGGGCUGUAUUUCAUGCAACAGAACAGCCGGUGGCAAUGACUGGAGACAUCCCUUUGAUUUUCAUAGUGCUUAAAGCAACGUUAUAUUCAGUUCAUCACAUUAAGCCUCUGCACCACAGCUGAAAUAAUAGAGACAUAUUUGCCUUUUCAGAUGUAAAUAGGUGACAGCUUGUAUCUUGUUCUGGCCUCACCAUCCUUUUAAUGCUCUAAGCCAGAACCACGGGCCACAAUCAAGCAGUGAAAUCUUACACACCUAGUGCUGAAAAUGAUGACCUUAACUGAUACUUAAUUCAUUUUCCCUAAUCAUAAAAGUAUAAUUCCCAUCUAUCAAUGUAUCCAUAUAAAUUACUUUUUACAUACUAAUUUUUAUCCAGAAUUUACCUGAAGUAUUUUCAGGCUGUGGUGUCUGAAGCUACAGCUAAACUGCUCUACAGCUGUCACAGUCCUAAAGGCACAGAGAACCAACACUGGUGUAGGUAGUCACCAGAUCAUUUGCAUCAUUUCAUAUGGAAUUUUUAAAAGCAUUAAGAAUCUCUAUCUUGUUAUCCUGACAAAAGAAAAAAAAACAUGCAUCAUGAAGUGGAAAAGACAAGUUACAGUAAAAGUAUAAUCACUGAAGCACAUCCUUUCCAUCACCUCCCUCUUUACGAUCUCAGCCAACACAGAAUAACUGAGCUGCACUGAUCAGCCAGAAGUUUACAAUUUGACCAACAGCAUGUCUUGAGCCUCAGGUCAGAAAGAACACGGCUGUGUACAUCUGAUGUACUGCAAACAAGAUCCAAUGGAAAAAGCUCUGCUGUAAGACUGAAGUGUGGAUGGCAAAGAUUAACACAGAAAUGCAUUAUGUUUCAUGGGAAUAAAAUGAAAAAUGAAAGGAACGGGUGGUGUAUGAGGCCAUGAUAAGCAACAAGAUGAUGACGAUCUGGGGUGUGCUUGCAGGCCACCUCGUGUUCCCUGCCACAACUACUUACAAGUUCAUAAACACUGGAGUGUACAACAGUUAUCUCACUUCCUCCUGAGUACUAAAGAUGAACUAAAAGACUUUAUCUAAAGGAAGAAAAAGGCAGAACUGCUUAAUAUCCUACAGCAUUAACAGUGUGCAGAUUCAGAAGCCACUGGGAUGCACGAUUUGAAAGGCAAACUUAAGCUGAAAGGCAUUCUUCCCACAGUCCUAGACUGGGACCCAUAUUUCCCCUGUGCUACAGGUAGGAGCUCUGGUAGCCACUGACUUGAGCCUGCCAGCAGCCUUUCCUCUGCUCAGUGUGACCUCAGAGAGUGAGGUUCAAAAACACGACAGACAACACGAGAGAUGUUUCCCAUGAUUCUAGGCACCAGUGAAAACAAGUUGGCUUUGCAGGAAGGUAAUGGGGGGGUAAAGCCAGUUUGCUACUCUUUUGUUGCUUUAAACACAUAUACAUAUUUACUGGUAUUUCUCCUUUAAGAUGCAUCUUGACUCCACUGGAAUACCCUCUGUCAAAAAGGACUGAAUGUACAAUUCAGCCCACAUUAUAGAAAAUACAGAGCUGGAAUCUUAGACCAAUGUACUUUAUUUCACUUUCAGAGAAAAGCAUCACAACCCCUCUUUAAGGGUCCACAACCUACUCUCAUUUAUACCCCUUUAUCUCCAGGGUCAGGAAACAAAAUUGCUGUUGCAUAAAUUAGACAGGACUGAGAGUAAACGGGGCCCCAAAGCAGCUAUUCAGUAUGAUCACAAGUCUUCAUUAGGACUAAAUACCAAGAUAAAUCUAGAAACUAUUUUUUAUUGUUUUAUUUCACGUUUAUUUUUAUCUGCAGUCAACGUGUCCAUUCUACAUGGAAUGUUAUACAGCUAAUCUUAAGGCUUUUAAUUUGUUGGUAGUCACAACACCCCCCACCCUCCUAGCCUUCACUACUGAGCUCACUUGCAGGUACUGUCUUUGGCCUUGUGAAUAACUCGCUUGCUAAUGCAGCUGAUUUAAUACUGUUGCCGUGCUGAAACCUGUUAGUAUAACUCGAUGCGUCAUACCUGUCAGAUUCUAGUUCUCUUCUUCAUUAUGAUGUUAUCUCAUUAAAUCUCAAUUACUCAUAAAAGGAUGGUUUAGCUGGAAAAUCUUAAUACUAUUAACAACAUGAAAAACUCACAGUAAAUAACAUGAAAUAAAUGUGUCACCUUAAAGCAA